CCUACGGGAGGCAGCAGUAGGGAAUCUUUCACAAUGGGCGAAAGCCUGAUGCAGCCAUGCCGCGUGCAUGAUGAAGGCCUUCGGGUUGUAAACUGCUUUUAUAAGCGAGGAAUAUGAUGGUAACUUAUGACUAAGGAUCGGCUAACUACGUGCCAGCAGCCGCGGUCAUACGUAGGAUCCGAGCAUUAUCCGGGGUGACUGGGUGUAAAGAGUUGCGUAGGUGGCAGAAUAAGUAGCUAGGGAAAUCUGGUGGGUCAACCAUUCAGACUAUUAGCUAAACUGUUAAGCUCGAGACCGUUAGGGGGAAGUAGAAGUUCAAGUGUAGGAGUGAAAUCCGGAGAUAUUAGAAGGAAUACCGAUAGCGUAGGCAGGUUACUGGGACGGUUCUGACACUAAGGUACGAAAGCGUAGGGAGCAAACGGGAUUAGAUACCCUUGUAGUC
rnacentral:rRNA from 1 species